CCUACGGGUCGCAGCAGUGGGGAAUAUUGCACAAUGGGCGCAAGCCUGAUGCAGCCAUGCCGCGUGUGUGAAGAAGGCCUUCGGUUGUAAAGCACUUUCAGCGAGGAGGAAGGUGGCGAACUUAAUACGUUCAUCAAUUGACGUUACUCGCAGAAGAAGCACCGGCUAACUCCGCGCCAGCAGCCGCGGUAAUACGGAGGGUGCAAGCGUUAAUCGGAAUUACUGGGCGUAAAGCGCACGCAGGCGGUUUGUUAAGUCAGAUGUGAAAUCCCCGGGCUCAACCUGGGAACUGCAUUUGAAACUGGCAAGCUAGAGUCUCGUAGAGGGGGGUAGAAUUCCAGGUGUGGCGGUGAAAUGCGUAGAGAUCUGGAGGAAUACCGGUGGCGAAGGCGGCCCCCUGGACGAAGACUGACGCUCAGGUGCGAAAGCGUGGGGAGCAAACAGGAUUAGAUACCCCUGUAGUC
rnacentral:rRNA from 1 species